AGCAGCCGCGGUAAUUCCAGCUCCAAUAGCGUAUAUUAAAGUUGUUGCAGUUAAAAAGCUCGUGGUUGAAUUUCGGGAUUAAUAUGUUGGUCGUGCCUUGGUACGUACUGGCAUUAUUGAUUCCUACCUUCUGAAGAACCUCGAUGUCAUUAAUUUGGUGUCUUGGGGAAUCAGGACUGUUACUUUGAAAAAAUUAGAGUGUUUAAAGCAGGCUCGCGCUUGAAUACAUUAGCAUGGAAUAAUGAAAUAGGACGUUUGAUUCUAUUUUGUUGGUUUCUAGGAUCGACGUAAUGAUUAAUAGGGAUAGUUGGGGGCAUUAGUAUUCAAUUGUCAGAGGUGAAAUUCUUGGAUUUAUUGAAGACUAACUACUGCGAAAGCAUUUGCCAAGGAUGUUUCAUUAAUCAAGAACGAAAGUUAGGGGAUCGAAGACGAUCAGAUACCGUCGUAGUCUUAACCAUAAACUAUGCCGACUAGGGAUCGGAUGAUGUUAAUUUUUAAUGACUCAUUCGGCGCUUAAC
rnacentral:rRNA from 1 species